rnacentral:lncRNA from 1 species
GAACCUUUUGAGUUCCACAUUUCAGCCUCUCUAUUCUUUCUCCUCCAUUUCACCUUCAAUCUAGUUCUCUCGUCUUUUCUUUUUCCUUCAAAUUCUCAGCAUACUCAAGGACUCUUCCUAGCAGGUAAAUCUCGUCCUUCUUCUUUAAUGUCUCCGUUGCUAAUGUAUGUGCCAGGCUAUUCGCUGUUCUUGGAUGUGCUCAAAACAAUAUUUUUUAGAUUUAGCCAGUAGCUGAUGAAUAUCUUGGAUAUAACUUUUUAUCUUGCACUUCUUUAUAAUUGAUAAUGCAUCCCCUUCAAUGAUGAUAUUUGACCAUUGCCUGUAUAUACCAAUUUGAGUUGCUGUCCGGCAAGCAAUUGCUUCGGCAGCAAAAGCUAAUGCGACUUGGUGAUAGAUCUCUAUGAAUGAUAAGAGAACGUUUCCUUCACUAUCCCUAGCCACAAUCCCCAUAGCCGAUUGACACAGAUUCCCAUCAUAUGCUGCGUCAAAGUUAAUCUUCACAAACUGACCAGGUGGGUGUUUCCACUUUCUAACUCCUGUUAAAAUCUUUGGUACUUUUUCUUCAAUCCUAUUAAGUUCAGAAAUGUAUCUCUUAAUAAAACUUGCAAUCUCUUUCCCAUAUUUGUUGGCCUUCUCAUGAACUCUCUUGUUCCUUUCUCCCCUGAUUGCCCAAAGAGCACAACAAAAGAUCCUGCACCGAGAGGGGGUAUUCUGUUCAAAAACCCAGGUGAGCCACUGUAUAAAUUCCAUAUGAGAUACUUGUAAUAACUCCGAGAAUGAUAACUCUUUCCAUACUAAUAUUACAUCAGGACACUCACAGAAUAGAUGAUUCGUGGUUUCUACUGCUCUCCCACACCUAGAACAGAUUACGUUGUUUAAUAGCCUUUUGUGCUGCAAGUUAACCCAUGUUGGUAGAUAAUUCCAUGAUAUUCUCCAAACUGUAAUUUUUAACUUAGAAGGUUAGAUUAAGAAGCCAAAGAUUUCUGUAAAAUUUCCUAUACUCGUUUUGUAAAGCAUAAGCUCUAGGAUCAAUUUCAAUGCCUUGUAAUAGUUUAUAGGCACUUCGCACCGUGAAUUCUCCCGAAGACUCCCCCCUCCAGGUCAGAAAAUCAUUGUGAGGCUCUUUUGCUAACGAAUGCGGAGAAUCUUCUCAACUACCUCCACUGGAAAGUUAGAAUCUACCAACUCUUUUUUCCAUUUUUUGUUGAUAUCAUAAAUUAAUUCUGCAACUUUAAAGUCACGCAAAUUAUUAAUAUGAGAUGAUAAUCUGGAAUAAUUCAAAUCUAGUAUCCAACCAUCAUUAAUAAUUGAUAUUUCAGUACCCUUCCCCACUUUCCAGCAUAGUCCAUCUGUUAGAAUGCCUUUAGUUGCCCAUAUACUCUUCCAUGUGAAAGAACUAUUACUCCUUAGGCGCGAAUUUAAAAAAUUCGUUUCUGGAAAAUAUUUAGCUUUUAAUACUUGUGCAACUAACAAAUUAGGAUUAUUUAGGAUUCUUCAACCUUGUUUAGCUAAUAAGGAGACGUUAAAACUAGACAUAAUCCUAAAGCCCAUUCCUCCAUCUUCUUUGGAUCAACACAUACACUGCCAUUUACACCCAUGAAUUCCUCUUUUCCCCUGUGCCUUUUUCCACCAGAAAUUAGCGAAGAUCCUUUCCAGUUCUCCACAUAGGGAAUUAGGAAGAAGGAAAGAGGACAUGGCGUAGGUUGGAAUAGCCUGAAGUAUUGAUUUAAUGACUAUUUCCUUGCCUCCUUGUGAUAAUAAUUUGGUACUCCAACCUUUAAUUCUGGAAUUGACCUUAUCUUUUAGAUUUUGAAACGACUCCUUUUUACGUCUACCAACCACAUUAGGAAGACCUAAGUACUUUUCCAUAUAUGUUGACCCUUUUACCCCUAAGCUUGUUAAUACUUCACCUCUUUUUUCUAUUGAUGUAUUCGAAUUGAAAAAAUUGUAGAUUUAUCAAAAUUAACACACUGGCCAGAACAUUCUUCAUAUUCUUUUAGAAUUCUUUUUAGCAACCUUGCUCCCUUAUUUGUUGCUUCACCGUACAGUAUGCAAUCAUCUGCAAAAAGUAAAUGUGAAAUCCCUGGUCCUUUUCUACUUGCCUUUGUUCCUUUUAUCAGACCCUCUUUUAUUGCCAAUCUCAUUAAUGCUGAAAGUCCCUCACUACAUAAUAGAAAUAAAAAGGGGCUAAGGGGUCCCCUGACACAACCCUCUAGAAGAUUGAAAAAUCUGUCCCCUUCUUCCAUUAGUAUUGACUGCGUAAGUUGCUGUAGUAAUGCAUUUCAUAAUUAAAUCAACCUAUUCUUUUGCAAAACCCAUUCGCAACAUAACUUCCUUAAGAAAGUCCCACUCGACCCUAUCAUAGGCUCUGCUCAUGUCAAGUUUAAUUGCCAUAUAUCCUUUCUUUCCUAUGCAUUUUCGUUGAAACAUGUGUAGGAUCUCGUAAGCAGUAAAAUGUUAUCAGAAAUUAGCCUACCUGGGAUAAAAGCACUUUGCGUCACAUCAAUACAUCUUCCUAUAACCUCUUAAAGUCUAUUGGCAAUUGUCUUAGCCAUAAUUUUGUAGAGAACCGUACACAAACUUAUAGGUCUGAAUUUUGUUAAGUUUGUAGGGUUCUGGGUUUUUGGAAUCAGUACAAUAUUAGUUGAAUUGAGAGGGCCAAAAUUUUUACUGUUAUUUAAAAUUCUUAGAAAGUAAUGACUUCCUUACCUACUAUAUGCCAAUAUCGUUGAAAAAAUAGUGCUGGAAAUCCAUCAGGUCUUAGUACUUUAGUUGGCUUCAUUACUUUCAAAGCUGAAUACACUUCUUUCGUAAAAUUUGACACUAAAACUUCAUUCAUAUUUGGCGAAAUUUUUUCCUCAAUGUCCGUUAAGAGAUGAGAUAGCUCUCCCACUCCUUUUGACAUAAAUAACUCCUAAAAGAAUAAAGUAGCAGCUUCACUGAUCUUAUUUAGUUCAGUAGCCUCUCCUCUUCCGUCUAACUGUAGCCUCAAUAUAGUGUUUUUUCUACGAAAUGAGGCGUACUUAUGGAAAAAAGUUGUAUUCUUGUCCCUUACUUUAAGUCAAUUCGCCCUUGUCCUCUGCUCCUAUAACAGCUCAAUUUUGGGCCUAGUCGAAACAGUAGUUUCGGGACCACAAAUUUGAUGAGGAAAAAAAUUUAUUUUUAUUAUAUUUUAUGGUCUAAGAUUUCAUGGAAUGAUUUUUUUAAAUUUUUUUUUGAAAAUUUCGACGUUUCGGCACUCAAUUUAGUAAAAAAGAUUAAAUUGUAAAAAAAGUAAAAGUUGAGUUCUACAUGAUAAAAGUGUCCAAUUGUUAUGAAAUUUUAAAUUAGAAGUCCUUAAAUAGAAAUUAGACCAUUUUUAAAUUUUUUGGAAAAAAUGGACAUGAGAUAAGUGAAAUAGGAUAUUUUUAAGUUGGGGACAUUUUGGUCAUUUAGUAAUUAAAAGAAUUAAAAAGACCAAAAUAACCAAAUAUUUUUCCAUCUUCAAGCCUUGGCCGAAUUUCAAAAGGGGGAGCCAUAGUUAGGGUUUUCAAGCUUCCAAGUUCCAUAAUAAGUGAUUUCAAGCCCCGUUUUUAAUGUUCUUUACGUUUUUAGAGUCCCGGUAACUUGAUUUAGCUUAUUCUAGUUAUAAUUUAACCUAUGGUUUAUAUUUGAAAAAAUAACUUUUGUUAAGCAAUUUUAACUGAAAACAAGUAAAACGACAUAAUCGGUAAAAAUACCUAAUAUUUAUAAGUAAGUGUUAGAGUGGGAAUUCGAUGUUGCCAUAGAAGGAAAAAAUGUUCAGUAUGUCAUAAUACAUAAGAAUAAGGGAUGAAGUUUAAUUUACGAGUUUUGGGGUAAAAGUGUAAAUAUGUAAAAUUUAGGAGAAAAUUGUAAUUUUUCCAAAGUUUGGGUCAAGGAAUAUUUUGAUAAAUGUGAGUAUUAAAUAAGUUAAAUGUGUUAUUAUAGGUCAAGAAAGAAGUGGAAUCGACCUUAAUCGGAGAAAAGAAAAGAUUAAAGACUAAAUUGCUAAAUUUUUAUAUUGUUGCACCAAAGCAAGUUCCCUGUAAAUAAUAACAAUAUAUUUUUAUAAAUUGUGAAUUAUAUUUGAUAUGUGAAUUAAUAUUGAAUGCGAAAGUAAAAUUGUUAAUGAAUCAUUCAAGUGAUAAAGUGUUUAAAAUAAAGUGUUAAGUGUAAAUUCUCGGUUAAACUUAGGAAUAGAAGUGGAUACAAGUGACAUAUCACUAGAGACCAGUGUUACAGUGUUACAGUGUUACAAUGAGUCAUAAGUGCUGGGUGAUCUAGCAUGUGUUGCAGAUACUUAACAGCUUGUGUGAGCAGGCCCGUGGACAUUUCUAGUGUUAUUGAUCAGUGGUAGCUUCGGCUACAUUUUAAUGGUAGCUAUGACUACAUAUCAAUGGUAGCUUCGGCUACAUUUCAGUGGUAGCUAUGACUACGUAUCAGUGGUAGCUUCAGCUACAUAUCAGUGUGGCACUUAUGUGCUAAUUAUCUACGUAUUCGUGUAUAUUCCGAGUGUUCAACGAGAAGUUGACUAAGUGAAAAUACAUGAGAUCAUGUAACGAUUAAGCGUAAUUGAAUGAUGAAUAUAUGUGUGAAAUUGAAUUGAAUAGUGAUCGAAAGUGAAAAAGUGAAAUUGUGAAAUAGUAGAAUUAGCAACAAAAUAGUUUUGGACAAAAACAGUUGUGUAACUUUGCCAUAAAUGGUCGAAAUCGAA